rnacentral:lncRNA from 1 species
GGCUUUUCCUUAUUGAUAAUAUAACUGGUCAUUUAGAACAUACCUGUAUUUAAUCCUCCGAUCAAUCCUCCUAAACCACCACCAUUUAACAGAAGUCCACCACCACCGACAAUUCCUCCAGAUCCACCAAUAGUUCCAACACCUCCAAGGAGUGGACCACUUGUGAUAACUCCACCAUUGACAAGUCCUCCUAAUAAUGGACCUCCUUUGUUUAAUGCCGAAACAGAGGCGACAAGCGAAACUAGAAGAAGAGUCAACAUGUCGAUGGGUGACUUUGAUCUG